rnacentral:rRNA from 1 species
UUCAUGGAGAGUUUGAUCCUGGCUCAGGACGAACGCUGGCGGCGUGCCUAAUACAUGCAAGUCGAGCGGACCGACGGGAGCUUGCUCCCUUAGGUCAGCGGCGGACGGGUGAGUAACACGUGGGUAACCUGCCUGUAAGACUGGGAUAACUCCGGGAAACCGGGGCUAAUACCGGAUGCUUGAUUGAACCGCAUGGUUCAAUCAUAAAAGGUGGCUUUCAGCUACCACUUACAGAUGGACCCGCGGCGCAUUAGCUAGUUGGUGAGGUAACGGCUCACCAAGGCGACGAUGCGUAGCCGACCUGAGAGGGUGAUCGGCCACACU